rnacentral:sRNA from 1 species
GGUUUACAAAAAUUCUCAGUCUCUUGCGUUUAUUACGACUUUCAAGGUUAAUUAGAUACAUACAUCAAUGGGAAGAGACAGUGGAACCACAGAUGGAAGGAACUUGAGUCCUGGAAUUUCUGCUUGGAGAAGAGACAGUUGUCCAUGAGGUACAUCCGUUGGACUUUAA